rnacentral:rRNA from 1 species
UAAUACAGGGGGAGCAAGCGUUGUUCGGAAUCACUGGGCGUAAAGGGCGCGUAGGCGGUCAUGUAAGUCUUGUGUGAAAUCCCUCGGCUCAACUGGGGAACUGCACAGGAAACUGCGUGGCUUGAGUUCGGGAGAGGGAAGCGGAAUUCCGGGUGUAGCGGUGAAAUGCGCAGAUAUCCGGAGGAACACCGGUGGCGAAGGCGGCUUCCUGGACCGUAACUGACGCUGAGGCGCGAAAGCUAGGGGAGCAAACGGGAUUAGAUACCCCGGUAGUCCUAGCUGUAAACGAUGAGUGCUGGGUGUAGGGGGUAUUAACCCCCCCUGUGCCGAAGCUAACGCAUUAAGCACUCCGCCUGGGGAGUACGGUCGCAAGGCUG